AUUGAACGCUGGCGGCAUGCUUUACACAUGCAAGUCGAACGGCAGCGCGGGGGCAACCCUGGCGGCGAGUGGCGAACGGGUGAGUAAUGCAUCGGAACGUAUCCUGUAAUGGGGGAUAACGUAGCGAAAGUUACGCUAAUACCGCAUACGCUCGAGGGAGGAAAGUGGGGGAUCGCAAGACCUCACGUUAUAGGAGCGGCCGAUGUCCGAUUAGCUAGUUGGUGGGGUAAAGGCCUACCAAGGCGACGAUCGGUAGCUGGUCUGAGAGGAUGAUCAGCCACACUGGGACUGAGACACGGCCCAGACUCCUACGGGAGGCAGCAGUGGGGAAUUUUGGACAAUGGGCGAAAGCCUGAUCCAGCCAUGCCGCGUGCGGGAAGAAGGCCCGUGGGUCGUAAACUUCUUUUCUCAAGGAAGAAACAAAUGACGGUACUUGAGGAAUAAGCACCGGCUAACUCUGUG
rnacentral:rRNA from 1 species